UACGGGGGGGGCAAGCGUUGUUCGGAAUUACUGGGCGUAAAGGGCUCGUAGGCGGCCAACUAAGUCGGAUGUGAAAUCCCCAGGCUUAACCUGGGAACUGCAUCCGAUACUGGUUGGCUUGAAUCCGGGAGAGGGAUGCGGAAUUCCAGGUGUAGCGGUGAAAUGCGUAGAUAUCUGGAGGAACACCGGCGGCGAAGGCGGUAUCCUGGACCGGCAUUGACGCUGAGUGAGCGAAAGCCAGGGGAGCAAACGGG
rnacentral:rRNA from 1 species